UACGUAGGGUGCGAGCGUUAAUCGGAAUUACUGGGCGUAAAGCGUGCGCAGGCGGUUCGUUAAGUUCGAUGUGAAAGCCCCGGGCUCAACCUGGGAACUGCAUUGGAAACUGGCGGGCUUGAGUGUGGCAGAGGGUGGUGGAAUUUCCUGUGUAGCGGUGAGAUGCGUAGAUAUAGGAAGGAACACCAGUGGCGAAGGCGACCACCUGGACUGAUACUGACACUGAGGUGCGAAAGCGUGGGGAGCAAACAGG
rnacentral:rRNA from 1 species